rnacentral:lncRNA from 1 species
UACUGGCCAAUGCUCUUCUUGAUUUCUCAAACCAUUAUUUUGUUCUCCUCUCUGAAUCAUGCAUUCCCCUUUAUAAUUUUUCCACAAUAUACUCUUACCUAAUGAACUCGACCCAAAAUUUUGUGGAGUUGUACGAUUUACCUGGCCCCGUCGGUCAAGGAAGGUACAGCAUCCUAAUGCAGCCAUUGAUCAAGCUCGAGCAAUGGAGAAAGGGCUCUCAAUGGUUUGCAAUGGACAGAGAUCUUGCAAUUGAAGUUAUAGCUGACAAUACUUAUUUUCCAGUGUUCCAAAAAUAUUGCAAUGGCUCAUGUUAUGCUGAUGAGCAUUAUUUGCCAACGUUUGUGAACGUGAAAUUUGAAGGGAGGAAUUCAAAUAGAACUUUGACUUGGGUUGACUGGUCCAAGGGUGGGCCCCAUCCUUCCCAGUUUUUAAGGACAGAUGUUACUCCAGAGUUCUUGGAGAAGUUAAGGAGUGAAAAUUCAUGUGAGUGAGUGGAUGGAAAUUAAUUUUUCAACAAUAAGUAUUUAUUCAAUUUAUAUUAAAUCAGAAAAUUUAUUAUUUCAUACAGUAGAUUUGAUAGCAUGAUUUUCCGAAUAAGUUGAUUUAUAAACAAUUAUUUUUAAAGUUUGAUCUAGUUCAGUUAAAUCAUUUCAUUAGCAUGUUUUAUCGAUAUUAUAUGUUUCAGAAUAUUUAAAGUUAUUUCUAAAAACCACCAGAAAGUACCCAGGUAAUUUCACCCCAGUCUGUACUGGUGUGAAUGUGUCUCCACAGUGUAUGACUACUUAUGGUGAUUUUACCAACUCUGCACUAUUGUGAAUGUGUUUUCAUAGUGUAUGAUCAGAAUUGCAGAAUCUUAGCUUUGCGCGCGUAAUUACAGAAUUUCAGAAUUACAGAAUCGAAUAGCUUUGUCAUGUAUAUCGGUACUAACUGAUAUAUGGGUAAGGUUAUUUCGGGUGUCUUUUUGGUGUGAUUUUCAGUAAAUUGCAGUUCAUCAGUUUUCAGAUUAUAGAAUUUAGUCAUUUCAAUUUAAAGAAUAAAUAUUUUGGCUUAUAGUACAAUAAAAGAACAUUUUUAUUAUAUACUAGUUUUCUGAAAGUUGGCAUAACUAGAAAAUAUAUAUUUACUUACGGAAUAUCCACUUACUGAGUUACAGGCUCACAUUUUUAUCACAAUUUCUCUUAUCAGAUAGUAACUGAGUUGAGUUCUACUGGCCAGUUGAUCUAUGGAGUUGAGCCAUAGAUUAUCAAGCAUUGCAUGACUCAUCUUAUCAGUUUAAUAGUUUAUAUUUUAGGAUAGACACUUCUUUUGGUCAGAAAUUAAUUUUAUGUUUUGGGCCUGCUAUGUUUUGUAUAUAUUAUGCAUUUUGAGUAUUGUGGUUUAUAAAUUAUUGCAAAUGUCGAAUUGCUAGUGUUGUAUUUUAAAUAGUUGAUAUUCUGUGGGUCAGUGUACCCUAUUUUAAACUAUAUGUAUCUGUUUGGGAUAUUGGAUUAUAUAUUUUAGGUGGUUUUAGUCCAUAAUUCAGGGGGAAUUCUGCCAAAAUUUUUAACAGUCAAAACAAGUCAAAGUUGCCUUAAUGGUGGGUCUGACACUUAACUGGUAUUUACUAUCGGCACACGACACGUGUCGAGAUUAUUAGGAUGAUUCAGGACGGGUCGUGUCACCAAUUGUGCAAAGGAUAUGAGUGAGGUUAUUUCACGCCUUGCUGGCAGUCGCAGUAUGAGGGUUCAAUUUCUGAGACAUGGAAUUGGACUCCUUGUAAACGCAGUGUAUAUGCAGCUCUUGUUCCCUGGUCUGCUGAGGCACAUCCCGCGAUUUAUCUCCCUUACAAAGCUCAAGGGGCGGGGCGGUGGAGGCCCUUAAGAUUGGGGUUCAACCUUUUUUGUCAGGAUUGAUCUUAAUGAAGUUGUUUGCAGAAUCGGGUUCACUUGUCAAAUGCCACUUUCAUGCUUUAUUCGUAUCUUUAUAAUUACUUAUUUCGAAUUUUAUGAUCGAUAACAAUGAAACAUUAGUUCGUCGAUCAUAUUAAUCUCAAAUGUGAUCAUUUCACUUUCAGUUAUAUGUUUUUUCUUAUCAAAAUGGAAUUGGAUAAUGAUUUCAAACAAACUGGAGUUGUAUCUCUUUUUAUAUUUCCAUUCAAGAGUUUGUAUGUAUUUCAACACCCAUUGAGACCCUGAGAAAUGGAUAAAUUCAUUUUCUUAAGGAUAUCUAUAUGAGAUUUGUCACAACAAGAAGGAAUGAUAACUUGAUCAUUAACUACUAUAUUCAUAACUUUAUAACAAUACAAAUACGUAUCCUCGAGAGGCACAAUUUGCAACUUACUCUCCUCUUGCCUAUAUGCUAAAGAUUUAUCUGGAAUUUCGUACGAUUCAAAUGGAUCAAUAUGAGAGUUCGACCAUAUUGCAUUGUUAGAAUUCAUGUUGCUUAUUUAAAAGAGUUUGACCUCCUUACUUCCCUAUUGUGUGUCAAGCCCCUUCUUCAUUAGUCCACAUAAAUAAAAUGUAGGACUAGUUCAACUCGCAAGCAUGAAGUUAAAAUCGCUAGUAAUCGCCUGUUUGCAUCUAUAUAGCCAGAAAUUUGUUCACUUAGCCUGUUCACAUUGCUCAUCAUACUCUGAAAACUGAUCAUGUUUAAAGCCAUUGCAACACAUCUAGUGACCAUUUGUAAAUCUUUCGACUUUUUUAAGGUCACAAAUUUGAUUAAACACAUCAAGUUGUCAACCCAACUUAACAAAAAUUUACCACAAAAUUAAAUAAAGAUCAUAAUUAACACUUUAAAACUCAUAAAUCAUAAUAAGCUAAGUGGUCCACAAAACCUACUACUUGCAAUGUUCAAGUCCAAUAUGCAAUCAAAUAGUUUACUGGGUCCUGAUAAGCAAUUAUUUUGUUGGGGUGCGUUAUCUAUACCAGAAUUGAACCGUUGAUUGUGACCCUCUAGCGGUCUGUCAUUUCCUCAUGAACACGUUAUUUUAUUGCUGGGUAAAUUGGAUUAUAAAUCACGUUAUUAACUUAUGCAAUCGAAUUUGGCCCUGCUUUAACUAAAAAGUUAAUAAAAAUUUAAGUUAAAUUUAUAAUUAAUUUUAAUCAGAUAUUUCAUCGGAUACACAAUGUUUGUUAAUUUUUCAAUUACAUAUUUAAUUAAUUUUUAUCAAAAUCUACUGAAAAUAUGAUUUUUAACAAAAUCUGACUUAAUAUUUUACCAUUAUCUAUAACCAAUCAGAGAGUAAAUACAUCAAUUAUGGUCAUAAUUCAAUAUUCGUUUUUAGUGUGAAAAAGCUUGACCAACGUUUCAGUUUGGAAAAAAUUAAAUAUGAACGUGAACUCUAAGACACUAAGUAUGCCACAAAAUAAAUGAUUUUGUUAUGAUAAAAAAACAUUUAUGGAUAAUGGAAAACAUUUACAAAAACAUGUAUACAAAUCUUAACAUACCCAAUAAGCCAUAAACAAACCAUUUUAGAAUUCAGAACUCGGGAGGUGAUCUUAACUAAGAUUUUGAUGGAUUUUAAAAGAUUAUAAAUCUUAAUGAAUUUCUUGGAUUUGAAUAGAUUUCCACAAAUUUCAUAAAAUCUCAUCAAAUAUGUUAAAAUUUCAAAAGAUUUUAUUAUAUGUAUUUUUAAGCAGGAAAUCCAUUCAUUUAUUUUAAAAUCCCUCUAAUAUUUAAACUUGAAAGAAUUUCAUUAGGACACUUAAAUUUUAAUAAAUUUCAUGAAAAUCCAUUAAAAUACACCUAAAUUCAGAAGGUCGAUCACAAUCUUAAUUUACAACUUAACUGAUAUGCAUAGCAUUAAUUACAAAAUCAUACUUAAUGUGGGUAAUUAAUAGGCAUAAAUAAUAAUAUAUGGAGGCCAAUUCAAAGUAAGACGUUACCUAUUCUUUCCUUGUAUGCCUGUUUGGUUCACGUCCGUUUAAACCACAGAAACUUACAUUGUUCGACGGCUAACUUUCUUUAAGUUUUUCAAAUUUAUGUCGUUUCAUAUACUGAAUACUUUCUCCAAUCUUCAUUGGUCAACUUUUAAAAAUGUUUUUUGUUUGUAUAUAAAUUUGAUCUUCGACAAGUUAAAUCUAGACAGCCAACAAACAUCAUAGAAUUGGCCGGAUAGUUUGUUUGUUUGUUUCAAGUUUAUAUAAAACGCAAACUUUGUGAUCUCAGACUUUAACCGACAGUUGUUCACUUCUCUUUAUCAAUGUUCCAAUGUUAGUUCCCAAAUGUUUCUUCAAAAUCACUUAUUCUCUUGGAAUUUCCAUUGCUUCUUCAUUGUAAUUUCAGAGGCUCAUAUCACAAAGUAACCAGAGAAUUUUAUCAAAAUGAAGAACCAGAAUCCAAUUUCUUCAGGUGGAAGUGGGAAGUCCAUGAAUGUUAUUGCCCCAUUGUCACUGGUUAAACACCUUUCUUGCUUUUUCUUUUUCAUUUUCGGGUUAACUCUUGGGAUAAUUCUUUGUUUCCAUUACAAAAGUUUCUCUUUCAAUCUGCUAGUUACCAAUCGCCAAUUCUCUAUUUUCACUUCACAAUCAUCAUCAUCAUCACUAUCAACGCCUCCAACUUCAAAUACAAGUAAUUAUAAUCUAGAGCCACCUAAUGUUAUUAUGCAUAACUUGAAUGAUCAAGAAUUGCUGUGGAGAGCCUCAAUGGCUCCAAGAAUUCAAGAAUUUCCAUUCAAACGACGUCCCAAGAUUGCAUUUAUGUUCUUGAUUAGAGGGCCGGUUUUGUUAGCCCCUCUGUGGGAGUUAUUCUUCAAAGGAAAUGAAGGGCUAUACUCAAUUUAUGUGCAUUCUGAUCCAGCUUUCAAUGAAUCAGACCCUCAAGGUUCAGUUUUUUAUGGCAGGAGAAUUCCUAGUAAGGUCAGUCAGUUCAACUCAUUCUUAUUGCAUUAUUCAUUAUUAUAUAAAUUGCUGCUUAAACACGCUGCUGCUCUUGUCCGUAAUUUUAAUAUGAAAACAAUAAUCAACAUAUCAUACUAUCGUUUUUACUUUACAUUUACAGUAAAUAUUCCUUCUGGUAAUUCUAAUAUAAUUAUAGCUCUUUGAAUUAAAUAUUAAUUCGAUAAGUUUAGAUAAAUGUAUUUUACAGAAAAUAAUAGGAGAAUUUAUCGUUAAGGUGAACCGUACCAAACUUAAGAUUAACGCAAUUUAUUCAGAACAUUUGUACCUAUAAAUAUAAUCCCUUUAUUUCUGGUAUCUUCAUAUUCUCUUCAAAAUGGGGAGAUGGGGAAGAAAAUUAGUAAGAUUUUUAAUUAGGUGCUUGAAAAAUAUGUUGUUCAGUUUCGAAAAUUCUAUAUUAAUAAUUGCAGUCAAGCACUCAAUGUCCAAAUCAGAGAACAAUCAACGAUGAGGAAAAUAUCUGAAAACUAGCAUGUAUAACAUUCAAAAAGAAAUGGUAAUGGUUAGAUUUGUCCAUUUUGUCUAUUAAAAUAUGGUGCAAUGUGCAUAAUUUUUCAAAAAUAGGUAGAGGAAAGAUUUUAACUCGAAUCUUUUAUUCAUUCUUAUUUAUGUUCUGAUAUCACAUUAAACCGUAUAAUUCAAAAACUCAAUGUAUUAUAGAAGGGGCACUAGCUAUGGUAAGAUUUGCCCAAAUCAAAUUCAGGGGUGAUCUCUACCCAAAAUAGAAAAUAAACCUAAAAGGAUGAAAGAUGGUCGUUUAAAAACAUGAAAUACCAUGAUUAUUUAGUAGUCAAUGAAACUCUCCAUGAUUGGCUUAUAUAAAAAGUUCAUUUACAUUGUUGAAUGCAUAUUAUUAUCCCAAUUUCUCAACCAGUUUAUUCAAUUGUUAACUAAAUUAUCAAAACAGAUAAGCCAAGGUUAUGUAUUGUGUUUAGUGUGGCAUCGUAAAUGAUGCAUCGUUUGGGGGCAAAAGUUAAUCGUCUCAUUUCAAAGAUAUUUCUUCACCCGGCAUUGUCUUAUCUCCCAUAUCCUUUUCAGUAAAAAAAUUUGGUCCAGAGAUAGAUUACAUUGGUAUCCUCGAUUUCCCAGAUGGUUACUAGCUAGAGAAUUAUGUACUAUCCUUUAAAUACGAUGGACUCUGUAUAGUUUUCGAAAUUUUUGUCACGUCUCCCUUUUCUAAUGCACUGUUCCGAACAAGUUGUGAAUAAUAAUGUUGAUGUGAUGCCGGAUUAAUGAAAUUUCUAUACGUAUUGAUGUCUUUUAUUUAUCUCAUAGAAAUACUUUCGAAAAUUGCAGAAAGUCAGCUGGGGUCACGCAAACAUGGUCGAAGCAGAACGCAGACUACUGGCCAAUGCUCUUCUUGAUUUCUCAAACCAUUAUUUUGUUCUCCUCUCUGAAUCAUGCAUUCCCCUUUAUAAUUUUUCCACAAUAUACUCUUACCUAAUGAACUCGACCCAAAAUUUUGUGGAGUUGUACGAUUUACCUGGCCCCGUCGGUCAAGGAAGGUACAGCAUCCUAAUGCAGCCAUUGAUCAAGCUCGAGCAAUGGAGAAAGGGCUCUCAAUGGUUUGCAAUGGACAGAGA